rnacentral:rRNA from 1 species
AGUGAACGCUGGCGGUAGGCCUAACACAUGCAAGUCGAACGGCAGCACAGGAGAGCUUGCUCUCUGGGUGGCGAGUGGCGGACGGGUGAGGAAUACAUCGGAAUCUACUCUGUCGUGGGGGAUAACGUAGGGAAACUUACGCUAAUACCGCAUACGACCUACGGGUGAAAGCAGGGGACCUUCGGGCCCUGCGCGAUUGAAUGAGCCGGUGUCGGAUUAGCUAGUUGGCGGGGUAAAGGCCCACCAAGGCGACGAGCCGUGGCUGGUCUGAGAGGAUGAUCAGCCACACUGGAACUGAGACAGGGUCCAGACUCCUACGGGAGGCAGCAGUGGGGAAUAUUGGACAAUGGGCGCAAGCCUGAUCCAGCCAUACCGCGUGGGUGAAGAAGGCCUUCGGGUUGUAAAGCCCUUUUGUUGGGAAAGAAAUCCAGCUGGCUAAUACCCGGUUGGGAUGACGGUACCCAAAGAAUAAGCACCGGCUAACUUCGUGCCAGCAGCCGCCGUAA